rnacentral:rRNA from 1 species
UACGUAGGGCGCAAGCGUUUAUCCGGAAUUAUUGGGCGUAAAGAGCUCGUAGGCGGUUUGUCGCGUCUGCCGUGAAAGUCCGGGGCUCAACUCCGGGUCUGCAUUCGAUACGGGCAGGCUAGAGUUCGGUAGGGGAGAUCGGAAUUCCUGGUGUAGCGGUGAAAUGCGCAGAUAUCAGGAGGAACACCGGUGGCGAAGGCGGAUCUCUGGGCCGAUACUGACGCUGAGGAGCGAAAGCGUGGGGAGCGAACAGG